rnacentral:rRNA from 1 species
CGGCAAGGGGGUCAUCCCGACUUACCAACCCGAUGCAAACUGCGAAUACCGGAGAAUGUUAUCACGGGAGACACACGGCGGGUGCUAACGUCCGUCGUGAAGAGGGAAACAACCCAGACCGCCAGCUAAGGUCCCAAAGUCAUGGUUAAGUGGGAAACGAUGUGGGAAGGCCCAGACAGCCAGGAUGUUGGCUUAGAAGCAGCCAUCAUUUAAAGAAAGCGUAAUAGCUCACUGGUCGAGUCGGCCUGCGCGGAAGAUGUAACGGGGCUAAACCAUGCACCGAAGCUGCGGCAGCGACACUAUGUGUUGUUGGGUAGGGGAGCGUUCUGUAAGCCUGUGAAGGUGGCCUGUGAGGGUUGCUGGAGGUAUCAGAAGUGCGAAUGCUGACAUAAGUAACGAUAAAGCGGGUGAAAAGCCCGCUCGCCGGAAGACCAAGGGUUCCUGUCCAACGUUAAUCGGGGCAGGGUGAGUCGACCCCUAAGGCGAGGCCGAAAGGCGUAGUCGAUGGGAAACAGGUUAAUAUUCCUGUACUUGGUGUUACUGCGAAGGGGGGACGGAGAAGGCUAUGUUGGCCGGGCGACGGUUGUCCCGGUUUAAGCGUGUAGGCUGGUUUUCCAGGCAAAUCCGGAAAACCAAGGCUGAGGCGUGAUGACGAGGCACUACGGUGCUGAAGCGACAAAUGCCCUGCUUCCAGGAAAAGCCUCUAAGCAUCAGGUAACAUCAAAUCGUACCCCAAACCGACACAGGUGGUCAGGUAGAGAAUACCAAGGCGCUUGAGAGAACUCGGGUGAAGGAACUAGGCAAAAUGGUGCCGUAACUUCGGGAGAAGGCACGCUGAUAUGUAGGUGAAGCGACUUGCUCGUGGAGCUGAAAUCAGUCGAAGAUACCAGCUGGCUGCAACUGUUUAUUAAAAACACAGCACUGUGCAAACACGAAAGUGGACGUAUACGGUGUGACGCCUGCCCGGUGCCGGAAGGUUAAUUGAUGGGGUUAGCGGUAACGCGAAGCUCUUGAUCGAAGCCCCGGUAAACGGCGGCCGUAACUAUAACGGUCCUAAGGUAGCGAAAUUCCUUGUCGGGUAAGUUCCGACCUGCACGAAUGGCGUAAUGAUGGCCAGGCUGUCUCCACCCGAGACUCAGUGAAAUUGAACUCGCUGUGAAGAUGCAGUGUACCCGCGGCAAGACGGAAAGACCCCGUGAACCUUUACUAUAGCUUGACACUGAACAUUGAGCCUUGAUGUGUAGGAUAGGUGGGAGGCUUUGAAGUGUGGACGCCAGUCUGCAUGGAGCCGACCUUGAAAUACCACCCUUUAAUGUUUGAUGUUCUAACGUUGGCCCGUAAUCCGGGUUGCGGACAGUGUCUGGUGGGUAGUUUGACUGGGGCGGUCUCCUCCUAAAGAGUAACGGAGGAGCACGAAGGUUGGCUAAUCCUGGUCGGACAUCAGGAGGUUAGUGCAAUGGCAUAAGCCAGCUUGACUGCGAGCGUGACGGCGCGAGCAGGUGCGAAAGCAGGUCAUAGUGAUCCGGUGGUUCUGAAUGGAAGGGCCAUCGCUCAACGGAUAAAAGGUACUCCGGGGAUAACAGGCUGAUACCGCCCAAGAGUUCAUAUCGACGGCGGUGUUUGGCACCUCGAUGUCGGCUCAUCACAUCCUGGGGCUGAAGUAGGUCCCAAGGGUAUGGCUGUUCGCCAUUUAAAGUGGUACGCGAGCUGGGUUUAGAACGUCGUGAGACAGUUCGGUCCCUAUCUGCCGUGGGCGCUGGAGAACUGAGGGGGGCUGCUCCUAGUACGAGAGGACCGGAGUGGACGCAUCACUGGUGUUCGGGUUGUCAUGCCAAUGGCACUGCCCGGUAGCUAAAUGCGGAAGAGAUAAGUGCUGAAAGCAUCUAAGCACGAAACUUGCCCCGAGAUG